rnacentral:rRNA from 1 species
UACGUAGGUGGCAAGCGUUGUCCGGAAUUACUGGGCGUAAAGCGUGCGUAGACGGUUUCGUAAGUCGGGUGUGAAAGCCCCGGGCUCAACCUGGGAAUUGCAUUCGAGACUGCGUAGCUAGGGUGCGGAAGAGGGAAGCGGAAUUUCCGGUGUAGCGGUGAAAUGCGUAGAUAUCGGAAGGAACAUCAGUGGCGAAAGCGGCUUCCUGGUCCAGCACCGACGUUCAGGCACGAAAGCGUGGGGAGCAAACAGG